GCCAACACAGUGCAUUGGUUUGAAUGUUGGAUUAGAACUUCAAGAGACCAGGGUUCAAAUCCCUGUUCAGUCG